GAGAGAGAUGGGAAGAGGCAGAAUAUUUUGUCUAAUUUCAAGUUCAAGAAAGCAAAGAACACAAAAGUUAAGUGGCUGGUGUCCAUUUAUUCGAGUAAAUUUAUUCAGGAGUCGAGCCAGAAAUAAAGAUCAAGUCUCCUGGCCCAUGUACUAGGCCCCAUGCUGCCUCACAGCUUUCAAAACCUUCAUUUUCUUGGAAAAAGCUAAAAAGCUUUCCUCUACCAUACAUACUAGAUUCAGACACACUGCCAUCUACUGACCCACCAAAGGAUGUACCAGCUAAGACAUCCUGACCUUCAAGGGAGAGAGGAACACCUCGAGAGGAGUUGAGAUCCUGCUUUCCCUUCCGAAUGCCAUCUCCAGGAUGCUAAUGGGCUGUGUCUACAGUACUAUGCAGGAAAGUGCUGCAACAGUUCUGUCACCCCUAUGAAGACCUGGUUCUUAGCUGCAGCUGCAACUCUAUCCCUGGACUCAUCUUUGAAACUACCCAGAGGUAGACAGUCAAGAGCUUUAGAACUUUACAACAGGAUCUUCCUAGUGCCCUGAGACUUUGUGACAGAGCCAACAGAAAUAAAUCAUACAGGACAAAGCCAGACCCUGGUGUGAGGGAUGCUUAUGAAACAACAUAAACAAGAAGUUGUAUGAAAAAGAUUGUAUGGAAGGAAGAAGAGAUAAUGGAAAUUAACUCAUAAUAGCCCCAAUUAAAACACUUAUAGUAAAAUAUCAUUAGUACUACUUGAUUUUGGUGAAAGGCUCAAGAUUCAAGUCAGAAGGCCUGUUUGCUGUGAGUUCUUGAACGAAUAAUGUAACUUUGUUAAAAUUCAGUUUUCUUUUCUAUCAUUGGGUAUUAAUAAUUUCUCUGGGAUGUAAGAGUUAUGAUGUGAAGUUAAAAUAACUAAUAAAUGGGUAAACCCUGAAAAUG